rnacentral:rRNA from 1 species
GAUGAACGCUGGCGGCGUGCCUAAUACAUGCAAGUCGAGCGAACGGACGAGAAGCUUGCUUCUCUGAUGUUAGCGGCGGACGGGUGAGUAACACGUGGAUAACCUACCUAUAAGACUGGGAUAACUUCGGGAAACCGGAGCUAAUACCGGAUGAUAUUUUGAACCGCAUGGUUCAAAAGUGAAAGACGGUCUUGCUGUCACUUAUAGAUGGAUCCGCGCUGCAUUAGCUAGUUGGUAAGGUAACGGCUUACCAAGGCAACGAUGCAUAGCCGACCUGAGAGGGUGAACCGCCACACUGGAACUGAGACACGGUCCCGACUCCUACUGGAGGCAGCAGUAGGGACUCUUCCGCAAUGGGCGAAAGCCUGACGGAGCACCGCCGCGUGAGUGCUGAAGGUCUUCGGCUCGUAAAGCUCUGUUAUUAGUGAAGAACAUAUGUGUAAGUACCUGUGCACAUCUUGACGGUACCUAAUCAGAAAGCCCCGGCUAACUACGUG